rnacentral:miRNA from 1 species
GGAGGAUUGCUUAAGGCCAGGCAUUUGAGGCUGCAGUGAGUUAUGAUCACACCAUUGCACUCCAGCCUGAGUGACAGAGCAAGACCCUGUCUCA